GGAGACAUGGCUUAGUGGUAGAGUACCUGCCUAGUAAGCAUGAGGCUCUGAGUUCAGACCUUAGUAAGGCCA
rnacentral:tRNA from 1 species